rnacentral:misc_RNA from 1 species
UCACCCCUCGGGCCCCGUGCUCGGUGUUGGACGGCCGGUUCGGUGACCGAACCCCUCCUAAAGACAAUGACGGCGGCCUGUGGUUCCCCCGGUACACUGAGCCUUUGGCACGUGCCGGACGAGGGCGCCCAGGACCCGGUCCUCUCCUCUCAGCAGGAAACUUCUCAA